rnacentral:rRNA from 1 species
AUUGAACGCUGGCGGCAUGCUUUACACAUGCAAGUCGAACGGCAGCGCGGGCUUCGGCCUGGCGGCGAGUGGCGGACGGGUGUGUGAUGCAUCGGAGCGUGUACAGCAGUGGGGGAUAGGCCGGCGAAAGCGGGAUUAAUACAGAAUACGACCCGAGGGCGAAAGCGGGGGACAGUAAGGCCUCGCGCUAUUGGAGCGGCCGAUGGCGGUUUAGCUAGUUGGCGGGGUAUAGGCUUACCAAGGCGGCGAUACGUAGCUGGUCUGAGAGGACGAACAGCCGCACUUGGGCUGGGACGCGGCCCAGACUCCUACGUGAGGCAGCAGUGGGGAAUUUUGGACAAGGGGGGGUACCCGGUACCAGCCAUGCGGCGGGCGGGAAGAGGGCCUUCGGGUUGUAAACCGCUUUUGUUCGGGGAAAGAUCCUCUGGGUUAAUACCCCGGGGGAAUGCCGGUACCGGAAGAAUAAGCACCGGUAAACUACGU